rnacentral:rRNA from 1 species
GGCAUCGAUGAGAACCCAGCGAAAUGCGAUAAGUAAUGGGAAUUGCAGAAUUCAGGAAUUCAUCGAUCUUUGAACGCCAUUGCGCCCAUUAGUAUUCUAGUGGGCAUGCCUGUUCGAGCGUCAUUACAACCCUUAAGCUCAGCUUAGUGUUGGGAGUCUGCCUAGCUGGCAGUUCCUUAAAGACAGUUGGCGGAGUGCAGUGGACUCUGAGUGUAGUAAUUUACUUCCUCGCUUUAGAAGUCCUCUGCGCUACGGCCAGAAACCUAUUGAAUUAUCUCAAUGGUUGACCUCGGAUCAGGUAGGAAUACCCGCUGAACUUAAGCAUAUCAAUAAGCGGAGGAAAAGAAACCAACAGGGAUUGCCCUAGUAACGGCGAGUGAAGCGGCAACAGCUCAAAUUUGAAAUCUGGCCCUCGGGUCCGAAUUGUAAUUUGUAGAGGAUGUUUUUGGUGCGGUACCUUCCGAGUUCCUUGGAACAGGACGCCUUAGAGGGUGAGAGCCCCGUACGGUUGGAUGCCUAGCCUC